AAUUGUAGGUACUUUCAAGAAAUAUAGUUAACUGUAAGUGCUGUAUUUUAAUAAUCUAUCAAAAAUCAAAAUCAUCAGGAUAAUAUUAGGUAUUGAUUUUCGGACAAGAAUUAGAUUACAGUGAUGGUCAAAAGCAUUUAGAUAUUGCUUUGAAAUCUACAGAUAAGGUAUGGCAGUUUCAUUUUAAAGAACAAUAUGUUAAAGUUUGUGAUAAAAUUGUCAUCAGAAAUACUGUCCACUUCAGUAUUUACAUAGGAAAAUAUUGGAGGAUGAAGCUUUACCUACUGCCUCAGGUUAAUUUAAAUUCUGAAUUGCAACAACAGCAACAAGCAAGAAGGGCACCAUUAAAUGAUUUUUAUACACAUAAGUAUUAUUAUACACAUAAAUAUUAACAUUUUGUAGAGCAACAACACAAUAAAAAACCAAAAUAUGAACACCAGCAACUAAAACAGGAACCAUUAAAUGAAUAUUAUACACAGCAAUAACAGCAUCAAAUAAUGGAAAUAAUGGACCCUACUGCUCAAAUCAAAAACAAAAUUUCAUCAUUACCACUUUAUUGGUUAUAUCAAUAAAAGAAAUUAUUGAGUUUAUGAGUCUAGAUCCUACAAGCAAGCAGAUCUAUCACAUAAUUUAAAAUGAAGAUUUAUCUAUUAUAGUAAUUUAUUCUAAUAAU